AUCAUUCAUAAUGAGUGUUUUAUGGCACUUUUUAAAUCCAUAUCCACCUUGUGUGCAAUGUCAGUCGAUCUUCUUCAUGGAGAUUGGCCAAACAUCAACUUAAUUUUUAACUCUUUGUCUGAAAAAUAUUAUGAAUAAACAAUUCAAAAUACAACUUUCAACAACGGAUCUCUUGGCUCUCGCAUCGAUGAAGAACGCAGCGAAAUGCGAUACGUAAUGUGAAUUGCAGAAUUCAGUGAAUCAUCGAAUCUUUGAACGCAUAUUGCGCUCUUUGGUAUUCCGAAGAGCAUGCUUGUUUGAGUAUCAGUAAACACCUCAAAGCUUUUGAUUUUUUUUGAAAGCCUUGGACUUGAGCGAUCCCAACACCAAUCUUUCAGAUCGGCGGCGGGUUGCUUGAAAUGCAGGUGCAGCUGGACAUUCUCCUGAGCUAAAAGCAUAUUUAUUUAGUCCCGUCAAACGGAUUAUUACUUUUGCUGCAGCUAAUAUAAAGGGAGUUUGACCGUAUUGGCUGACUGAUGCAGGAUUUCACAAGGGUCGGCAACGAUUCUUGUAAAACUCGAUCUCAAAUCAAGUAAGACUACCCGCUGAACUUAAGC
rnacentral:rRNA from 1 species